rnacentral:rRNA from 1 species
AGCGAACGCUGGCGGUAGGCCUAACACAUGCAAGUCGAACGGCAGCACAGGAGAGCUUGCUCUCUGGGUGGCGAGUGGCGGACGGGUGAGGAAUACAUCGGAAUCUACCUUUUCGUGGGGGAUAACGUAGGGAAACUUACGCUAAUACCGCAUACGACCUACGGGUGAAAGUGGGGGACCGCAAGGCCUCACGCGAUUAGAUGAGCCGAUGUCCGAUUAGCUAGUUGGCGGGGUAAUGGCCCACCAAGGCGACGAUCGGUAGCUGGUCUGAGAGGAUGAGCAGCCACACGGGAACUGAGACACGGUCCAGACUCCUACGGGAGGCAGCAGUGGGGAAUAUUGGACAAUGGGCGCAAGCCUGAUCCAGCCAUACCGCGUGGGUGAAGAAGGCCUUCGGGUUGUAAAGCCCUUUUGUUGGGAAAGAAAAUUACGGUUUCUACUGUAACCGACGGUACCCAAGGAAUAAGCACCGGCUAACUCCGUGCCAGCAGCCGCCGCCGUAA